GCCAUGUUUCCUGAACACAAAAUGGCGACACGUGGUUAGCAUUCGUCGCCAACGAGAAAUUGGGGUCGGCCCGAAAGCUCUAGAAUGCACCCCUCUUCCUCCCCGGGGCCUUCCACCUCCGCGAGUUUUAUGACUUAAAAAAGCCCACAGGCUGGUCUGAAGAGGAAGACAAACAUAAAGAUGAAGUGCUUAAUUCAAGGUCACACAAUGUCGGGGAUGGACCUCCAGAUUUCCUUACUGGAAAACAAGCUCAGGGCUCCCACUGAUUGUACAUUAUGGUGAGACGUGGUCUUGUAACACAGUGGUUAAGAAUGUGACUUUGGAGCCAGCCUGCUAGGGGCUGAAUUCUGACUCAGCCAUUUACUAACUGUGUGACCUUAGUUCCCUGAGCACAUGCUGUUGAGUAAUCCUGCCUGGACCAGUACUUCCCUCACCCUAGACUUCACCUUCAGUUCCCCUUUAUACCACCUGCUGAAGCUGCCAGCCAGCCUUUUCGACCACCCUCCCUCCCCCAGGGGUGUUUGGCUUCUCAGACCCCAGCCUGAGCUAGUGCCCUUGGCUUCCUAGGGUCUUGCCAGGAAAGCAAAGGAGAACAUGCAUACCGCCAAAGAGUACCUAAUAAUAAGAACUCCCAUCCUGAAUUGUGAUUUAUAGUCAGCAUAGCACAUGUGUCAGGUGAUUAUACUUAGGCUGAUUUUAGCCUUAAUAAUCUGCUUCUGUGAUCCUGUAUGUGGGAAGCCUAGAAAUUUCUCUGUGAUCCUCCUUCCUGGAUCACUAAGAGACAAGUCAAGACAUAGGUCCAUUCUACCACCUGUGUUAAUCUGGGCCUUGUUGAGACCAUUUAAAGAAAGGCGUGAUGCUAGAAGUAAGGUCCAGGCCUCCUGCACACUGUUUCAAGGCUGUGACCAUAGUCAGAUCCUGUUGCUUGAGUCCAAAGAGUUUAAAAUAGUGUUGGAAACCUCCUAGGGAAAAAACAAAAAACAAAACACCACAUCUUCCUGGGUAAGGAAGUGACAUGUGCUGACUAGAGCAGGAGGGGUAGCCAAGGCUCCAAGUUCUAUUCUGGACCUGUUGUUGAUUUGAGGUGUGACAUUCAGCAAUCUGAGCUGAUGUUCUGUAGCUCUGAUUGGUUUCUCAUCUUCUGCAGAGAGAGUGAAAGAGGCUGUGCUUGCAGGGGAAAAGGUGAACACUGGUCUCCUGUCCUUUAGGAGAGCUUCACCAUUACACGUCCUGCCUCUCAUUUGAAUUUCCAGGCUUUUUUAGAGUCUCGCUCUAUUGCCCAGAUUGGAGUGCAGUGGUGUGAUCUCGGCUCACUGCAACCUCUGCCUCUGGGUUUAAGCGAUUCUCUCACCUCAGCCUCCCAAGUAGCUGGAAUUAUAGGUGCGUGCCACCAUGCCUGGCUAAUUUUUGUGUUUUUAGUAGAGACAGGGUUUCACCAUGUUGGCCAGGCUAGUCUCGAACUCCUGACCUCAAGUGAUCCACCCACCUCGGCCUCCCAACCAGGCUUUUUUAAAUGCAGAAACCGCCCGCCCCCAGAGUUAAUAUGGAAACCCAGCAAUGUUGUUUAUGUUUUACUUGAAUUCGUUUCAUCAGAAUUGCAUUCCUUUUAACAGUGUGAUUAGAUCAGCUCUUAGAGGGGAUGGCAGCUUCAGUAGGGUUUAGGAAAGGAAAGGAAUAUUUGUGUGGGGCACACACUUUGGCUUUGAUAGCUUGAGGAUACCAGGUACAUGAUAAUUUAGAUGGAUAACAGAAACUUGUGUCCCUUGAGAGCCAGGCAUGUAUUAGAUGCUUUCAUACAUUAUUUAAUUGUAAUACAAACCAAUAAAGUAUUCCCAUUUUUUGCACAUGGGCAAGCUGAAAGUCAAAGAAGUUAUGUAACUUGCCCAAGGUCACACAGCUAAUAAAAAGGCUGAGCUAGGAUUUA
ensembl:lncRNA PCBP1-AS1 PCBP1 antisense RNA 1